AUACGUAGGGGGCGAGCGUUGUCCGGAAUUACUGGGCGUACAGGGUGCGUAGGCGGAUAAUCAAGUCAGAUGUGAAAGUCCAUGGCUUAACUGUGGGAGUGCAUUUGAGACUGAAGAUCUAGAGUGCAGGAGAGGGAAGCGGAAUUCCUAGUGUAGCGGUGAAAUGCGUAGAUAUUAGGAAGAACACCAGUGGCGAAGGCGGCUUUCUGGACUGUAACUGACGCUGAAGCACGAAAGCGUGGGGAGCAAACAGGAUUAGAUACCCUGGUAGUCCACGCCGUAAACGAUGAGUAUUAGGUGUAGGGGACAAUAGUCUUCUGUGCCGGAGCAAACGCAAUAAAUACUCCGCCUGGGGAGUACGGUCACAAGACUAAA
rnacentral:rRNA from 1 species